rnacentral:rRNA from 1 species
AGGGCACCACCAGGAGUGGAGCCUGCGGCUUAAUUUGACUCAACACGGGAAAACUCACCCGGCCCGGACACUGGAAGGAUUGACAGAUUGAGAGCUCUUUCUUGAUUCAGUGGGUGGUGGUGCAUGGCCGUUCUUAGUUGGUGGAGCGAUUUGUCUGGUUAAUUCCGAUAACGAACGAGACUCUAGCCUACUAAAUAGAUCGUUGGCUUACAAACGCCGAUGAGACUUCUUAGAGGGACAGGCGGCGAUUCAGCCGCACGAAACAGAGCAAUAACAGGUCUGUGAUGCCCUUAGAUGUCCGGGGCCGCACGCGCGCUACACUGAAGUGAUCAGCGUGCAUUCUCAGCCUACUCUGCCAAGAGUGGGAAACCCAAUGAACCUUCUUCGUGAUUGGGAUAGGAGAUUGUAAUUAUUCUCCUUGAACGAGGAAUUCCCAGUAAGCGCGAGUCAUAAGCUCGCGUUGAUUACGUCCCUGCCCUUUGUACACACCGCCCGUCGCUACUACCGAUUGAAUGUUUU